rnacentral:rRNA from 1 species
UACGAAGGGGGCUAGCGUUGUUCGGAAUCACUGGGCGUAAAGGGCGCGUAGGCGGAUUGCUAAGUCAGGGGUGAAAUCCUGGAGCUCAACUCCAGAACUGCCUUUGAUACUGGCGAUCUUGAGUCCGGGAGAGGUGAGUGGAACUGCGAGUGUAGAGGUGAAAUUCGUAGAUAUUCGCAAGAACACCAGUGGCGAAGGCGGCUCACUGGCCCGGUACUGACGCUGAGGUGCGAAAGCGUGGGGAGCAAACAGG